CCUACGGGAGGCAGCAGUCGAGAAUCAUUCACAAUGGGGGAAACCCUGAUGCUGCGACGCCGCGUGGGGGAAUGAAGGUCUUCGGAUUGAAAACACCUGUAGUGUGGGGGCAAAUGAAAAAGAUAGUACCACAAGAGGAAGAGACGGCUAACUCUGUGACAGCAGCCGCGUUAAUAGAGAGGUCUCAAGCGAUGUUCGGAAUCACUGGGCGUAAAGCGUGCGUAGGCUGUUUCGUAAGUCGUGGGUGAAAGGCGGGGGCUAAACCCGCGGCCGGCACAUGAUACUGCGAGACUAGUGUAAUGAAGGGGGAAGCGGAAUUCACGGUGUAGCAGUGAAAGGGGUAGAUAUCGAGGGGAACACGCGUGGCGAAGGCGGGUUCCUGGACAUUAACUGACGCUGAGGCACGAAGGCCAGGGGAGCGAAAGGGAUUAGAUCCCCGGUAGUC
rnacentral:rRNA from 1 species